rnacentral:rRNA from 1 species
GACGAACGCUGGCGGCGUGCUUAACACAUGCACGUCGAACGGUGAAAGCGGAGCUUGCUCCGCUGGAUCAGUGGCGAACGGGUGAGUAACACGUGGGCAACCUGCCCCUCACUUCGGGAUAACUCCGGGAAACCGGGGCUAAUACCGGAUAUGACCUCCUUGGGCAUCCUUGGAGGUGGAAAGUUUUUCGGUGAGGGAUGGGCCCGCGGCCUAUCAGCUUGUUGGUGAGGGAGUGGCUCACCAAGGCGACGACGGGUAGCCGGCCUGAGAGGGCGACCGGCCACACUGGGACUGAGACACGGCCCAGACUCCUACGGGAGGCAGCAGUGGGGAAUAUUGCGCGAUGGGCGCAAGCCUGAUGCAGCAACGCCGCGCGAGGGAUGACGGCCUUCGGGUUGUAAACCUCUUUUAGUAGGGAAGAAGCGAAAGUGACGGUACCUGCAGAAUAAGCACCGGCUAACUACGUGCCAGCAGCCGCCGUAA